GAAACCAGUGUCACCACAGUGCUCAGUGUCUUCUUAACAGAUCACAGAUGCUUCAGAGGACUUGCUGGCAUUGCAGUGGCUCUGCUUUUGAAUCCACAUUGGUCACUGUACAUACUUCCUCUGGGAUACUCAUGAGAAUGAAAGUGCAAAUGUGAUAAACGAAGAACUGUAGGCUUGAAAACCAAUCAAUCACAGAUUCGCCCAGCCUUCCCCUGCUGUAUGGCAGCACAUCUGACCGGAGACAUCUGCAUGGAAAUGAUGAGCAAAUACACAGAUAUUUGGCAACAGCUCUGAGGAACACUUGUGUUUCAAAGGUAGCGCAUUCAAUAGUAGUCCUCAUAUUCCAGUGUAAACAAGUCUGGAAAACUACUAGGGCAGUGGCGGUUGACAUCAUGUUUGCUUUGGACCGAAUGGCUACACUCCAGCAUCCAUCAG
ensembl:lncRNA